rnacentral:rRNA from 1 species
AACCAACAGGGAUUGCCUCAGUAACGGCGAGUGAAGCGGCAACAGCUCAAAUUUGAAAUCUGGCCUCACGGUCCGAGUUGUAAUUUGUAGAGGAUGCUUUUGGCGAGGUGCUUUCCGAGUUCCCUGGAACGGGACGCCAUAGAGGGUGAGAGCCCCGUACGGUAAGACCACCGAGCCUCUGUAAAGCUCCUUCGACGAGUCGAGUAGUUUGGGAAUGCUGCUCUAAAUGGGAGGUGUACGUCUUCUAAAGCUAAAUACCGGCCAGAGACCGAUAGCGCACAAGUAGAGUGAUCGAAAGAUGAAAAGCACUUUGAAAAGAGGGUUAAAAAGUACGUGAAAUUGUUGAAAGGGAAGCAUUCAUGACCAGACUUGGGCUUGGUUGAACAUCCGGCGUUCUCGCCGGUGCACUCUGCCAGUCCAGGCCAGCAUCAGUUUGCCCCGGGGGACAAAGGCGGUGGGAAUGUGGCUCUCUUCGGGAGUGUUAUAGCCCGCCGUGUAAUGCCCUGGGGCGGACUGAGGAACGCGCUUCGGCACGGAUGCUGGCGUAAUGGUCAUCAAUGACCCGUCUUGAAACACGGACCAAGGAGUCGUCUUCGUAUGCGAGUGUUCGGGUGUCAAACCCCUACGCGUAAUGAAAGUGAACGUAGGUGAGAGCUUCGGCGCAUCACCGACCGAUCCUGAUGUUCUCGGAUGGAUUUGAGUAAGAGCAUACGGGGCCGGACCCGAAAGAAGGUGAACUAUGCCUGUAUAGGGUGAAGCCAGAGGAAACUCUGGUGGAGGCUCGCAGCGGUUCUGACGUGCAAAUCGAUCGUCAAAUAUGGGCAUGGGGGCGAAAGACUAAUCGAACCUUCUAGUAGCUGGUUUCCGCCGAAGUUUCCCUCAGGAUAGCAGUGUUGAACUCAGUUUUAUGAGGUAAAGCGAAUGAUUAGGGACCCGGGGGCGCUAUUUAGCCUUCAUCCAUUCUCAAACUUUAAAUAUGUAAGAAGCCCUUGUUGCUUAAUUGAACGUGGGCAUUCGAAUGUAUCAACACUAGUGGGCCAUUUUUGGUAAGCAGAACUGGCGAUGCGGGAUGAACCGAACGCGAGGUUAAGGUGCCAGAGUAGACGCUCAUCAGACACCACAAAAGGUGUUAGUACAUCUUGACAGCAGGACGGUGGCCAUGGAAGUCGGAAUCCGCUAAGGACUGUGUAACAACUCACCUGCCGAAUGUACUAGCCCUGAAAAUGGAUGGCGCUCAAGCGUCUCACCCAUACCUCGCCCUCAGGGUUGAAAUGAUGCCCUGAGGAGUAGGCGGACGUAGAGGUCAGUGACGAAGCCUAGGGCGUGAGCCCGGGUAGAACGGCCUCUAGUGCAGAUCUUGGUGGUAGUAGCAAA